AGCGAACGCUGGCGGCAGGCUUAACACAUGCAAGUCGAACGGCUGUAGCAAUACAGCAGUGGCAGACGGGUGAGUAACGCGUGGGAACGUGCCCUUUAGUUCGGAACAACCCAGGGAAACUUGGGCUAAUACCGGAUACGCCCUUCGGGGGAAAGAUUUAUCGCUAAAGGAUCGGCCCGCGUCUGAUUAGCUAGUUGGUGAGGUAAUGGCUCACCAAGGCGACGAUCAGUAGCUGGUCUGAGAGGAUGAUCAGCCACACUGGGACUGAGACACGGCCCAGACUCCUACGGGAGGCAGCAGUGGGGAAUAUUGGACAAUGGGCGCAAGCCUGAUCCAGCCAUGCCGCGUGAGUGAUGAAGGCCCUAGGGUUGUAAAGCUCUUUUGUGCGGGAAGAUAAUGACGGUACCGCAAGAAUAAGCCCCGGCUAACUUCGUG
rnacentral:rRNA from 1 species